AAAAAGGAUUUUUUGAAAUCCAUUUUCUUAUUUUUUAAAAGAUCUCU
rfam:Seonamhaeicola sp. S2-3, complete genome.